CCAAUAGCGUAUAUUAAAGUUGUUGCAGUUAAAAAGCUCGUAGUUGAAUUUCGGGAUUAGUACGCUGGUCGUGCCUUCGGUAUGUACUGGUGUUACUGGUUCCUACCUUCUGACGAACCGUCAUGUCAUUAAUUUGGUGUGGCGGGAAAUCAGGACUGUUACUUUGAAAAAAUUAGAGUGUUUAAAGCAGGCUCGCGCUUGAAUACAUUAGCAUGGAAUAAUGAAAUAGGACGUUCGAUCCUAUUUUGUUGGUUUCUAGGAUUGACGUAAUGAUUAAUAGGGAUAGUUGGGGGCAUUAGUAUUCAAUUGUCAGAGGUGAAAUUCUUGGAUUUAUUGAAGACUAACUACUGCGAAAGCAUUUGCCAAGGAUGUUUUCAUUAAUCAAGAACGAAAGUUAGGGGAUCGAAGACGAUCAGAUACCGUCGUAGUCUUAACCAUAAACUAUGCCGACUAGGGAUCGGAUGAUGUUAAUUUUUUAAUGACUCAUUCGGCGCCUUACG
rnacentral:misc_RNA from 1 species